AUGGUCAUCGUGAUGGUGGCCACCGUGAUGGAGGCCAGCGGGGUGGUGGCCGCCUUGAUCCUGGUCACCAUGAUCAUGGCCAUUGUGAUGGUGGCCACCAUGAUGACGGCCAGAGGGGUGGUGGUCACCUCGGUCACGGUCAUCGUUAUGGUGGCCACCGUGAUGGAGGUCAGCGGCGUGGUGGCCAUCUUGAUCCCAAUCACCAUGAUUGCAGUCGUCAUGAUCCUGCUUCACCAUGAUCAUGGUCAGCGUGGUUGUGGCCACCAUGAUGGUCAGCGGGGUGGUGGCCACCUUGAUCCUGGUCACCUUGAUUGCAGUCAUCAUGAUCCAGCUCACCAUGAUCAUGGUCAGCGUGGUGGUGGCCACCGUGAUGGUGGUCAGUGGGGUGGUGGCCACCAUGAUCCUGGUCAUCAUGAUGGCCACCACGAUCAUCACCUUGAUCCCAGUCACCAUGAUUGCAGUCAUUGUGAUCCCGGUCACCAUGAUCAUGGUCAGCAUGAUGGUGGCCACCAUGAUUGGGGUCAUCACGAUUGUGGUCACCUUGAUCCCAGUCACCGUCACCAUGGUCAUCGUGAUGGUGGCCACCACGAUCAUGGAUCGAGUGGCCGGAGAGGCCGGAUCAUCGCCAUGGGGGUGGGGAUGUGGUGUGGGAGGGUUGGCUGGGGUGAUGUCAAGAGGUCUUCCAGGGGAGGAUUUGGCCAGGUGGAUCCCAAGAACUCUUACAGCAAAGGAUUUCUCCGGGUGGAUCCCAGGAGAUGUUCCAGGGAAGGGUUUCUCCGGGUGGAUCUCUGGAGGUUCUUCCAGGGAAGGAUUUCUCCAGGUGGAUCCCAGGAACUUUUUCAACAAAGGAUUGGUCUGGAUGGACACGGGAAGUUCUUCCAGGGAAGGAUUUGUCCUGGUGGAUCCCAGGAACUCUUCCAGGGAAGGAUUUCUCCAGGUGGAUCCCAAGAGAUCUUCCAGCAAAGGAUUGGUCUGGAUGGACACGGGAAGUUCUUCCAGCAAAGGAUUUCUCCAGGUGGAUCCCAGGAACUCCUCGGGGGCCUCGAUCCCAGAGUUGGUUCCGUGGCUCCAGAGGGGUUCGGACACCGGGGGGAACGUUGGGAUCUCCUGCUCCAGGUGGAUUUUCCUUGGAAUGAGGGGAGUGAGAUCCACCUGGACUGA
rnacentral:lncRNA from 1 species